rnacentral:rRNA from 1 species
UACGUAGGCAGCGAGCGUUGUUCGGAGUUACUGGGCGUAAAGGGUGUGUAGGCGGUUGUUUAAGUUUGGUGUGAAAUCUCCCGGCUCAACUGGGAGGGUGCGCCGAAUACUGAAUGACUUCGAGUGCGGGAGAGGAGAGUGGAAUUCCUGGUGUAGCGGUGAAAUGCGUAGAUAUCUGGAGGAACACCGGUGGCGAAGGCGGCAUCCUGGACCGGUAUUGACGCUGAGGCGCGAAAGCCAGGGGAGCAAACGGG